rnacentral:rRNA from 1 species
AUGAACCUACGGGGCGCAGCAGUGAGGAAUAUUGGUCAAUGGUCGGGAGACUGAACCAGCCAAGCCGCGUGAGGGAUGAAGGUACAGAGUAUCGUAAACCUCUUUUGUCAGGGAACAAAGGCGGGGACGUGUCCCCGGAUGAGUGUACCUGAAGAAAAAGCAUCGGCUAACUCCGUGCCAGCAGCCGCGGUAAUACGGAGGAUGCGAGCGUUAUCCGGAUUUAUUGGGUUUAAAGGGUGCGUAGGCGGGCUUUUAAGUCAGCGGUAAAAUCGCGGGGCUCAACCUC